rnacentral:lncRNA from 1 species
GUUAAAGAGUUUUUUUCUUUUUUUUAAAGAAUUACUUUGAAAAAUGAAGUAAGACGUAUUCUCAACAACCAACUUCUGCCAAAAUAUGCAAAGAAUAAAACAGGCCAUAAGAAUCCAUUGAUGUGUACAAAAUUAUUUUUUGACAGAAACAGAAACAAGGUAAACACAUGGAAGAUUCAAGUGAGAACUGAACUGGAACCCAGAAGGGGUAUGCAGGAGUUCAUUAGAAGACCAGAGAGAGAUACAAGCCACAAUUCAGGAAAACAUCCCAGCAGACUCCUCUCUGCCUUAUGUUUGACAUUCUUGAAAUCUGUGCUGUCUGUCUUGAAAUCUUUGAACAAUGUACAACAAUCUUAUGCUUGCCCAGGGAAACCUGUUCCAUUAGAUGAGGUAAGCUGGUUACAUACCUUCUUUGACUUGCGUUCCCAAGUGAUCUUAUUCCAGAUAUGAUUUGGGGAAUACUUGUAUGUGCCAUUCUGAUAUUGUCCUAAAAGGAAAUUAUUUUGGAAGUAAAGACACUGAUAAAAUCAACUCAGGAAAAUGCACUUUGCAAAUAUGAGAAUAUGGGCGUUAUUAAAAGCCAUGUUGUAAAAAUACCAAUGGUUAUUUUUACUGAGAGUAGUGUUAAAUAAAAUUUAUAGGAGACUAUUGUUUUGGACUAAGCUCUUGCACUAGGCCCAACAGAACAGACCAAACCAGAAUGGAAUUACUAGUGCUAGGUCCCCAAACUGGACUUUAAAAUCAGCCAGUUAAAAAACAAACAAACAAACAAAAAACGGAUUCACAGCAAUCAAUUAAAAGGGGCCCAGUCAACCUGAGUCGAC